AUGCCUUUUUAGUUUAAUAAAAAGAGUAUAUUAGGUUUAACUUUAUAUAUUAUUUUUAUUAAAUUAAGAAUUCAAAACAUUUGAAUGUAAUUCUAGAUAAAAUAUUGAUAAUGACAAAGUUUUAUCUAUAUGUCUUGACCAAAUCUUGUGCCAGCAGUCGCGGCAACACAAGGAAGACAAGUGUUAUUCAUCUUAAAUCGGUUUAAAGGGUACCUAGACGGUAAAUUAGGCCUUAAAUGGUACGUUUUUACUAGAGUUAUAUAUGCAUGAGGAUGAUAUGUGAGUAUUACCAGAGUAGAGAUGUAAUUUUUUGAUACUGUUAAGACU
rnacentral:rRNA from 1 species